GCUUUGAGCCAGCCGUCAUCGUUGCAUGUCUCAGAACACGCAAUGGUCAACAACAACCUAGCCAGGAUGGCAACAAUUUGGGCAGCGCCACAGGUACCCAAGGAAACCCUAGCCUUGACACCUUGAUGAGCAUGCUCAGCGGGCUUGGAUCAGGUGGCCUUGGUGUUCCAAAUAAUUCCAAUGUGCCGCCGGAGGAGCUCUAUGCAACACAGCUUACUCAGCUCCGAGAAAUGGAUUUCAUUGACAAUGCGGAGAACAUCCAGGCACUGGUUGCUACUGCUGGGAAUGUACAUGCCGCGGUGGAGCGCCUCCUUGGGAAUCUUGGCCAGUAGCCAAAGCGAGUCAGAUGCUUCUCAAAAUUCCGCGCACCUGCAGGAGUGUCCCCGGCUUGCUGUUUUUUGAGCCCAGAAUUUGAAGGCGGUGCCCAUAGUCCGGAAAACAAAAU